AGGAAAAAAUAAAAUUAUC
rnacentral:misc_RNA from 1 species